GAAGCGCAUCAUCGCUCCGUGCAGCGACU
rnacentral:sRNA from 1 species